AAUAAAUACACCUAAAAAGAAUAAAAAUAAAAACAUAAAAUAAGGAGAAAACGGGCGUGACCUCAUGUUUGCGCAUGCCCGGAAGCCAACUCGGUGUCCGUUGGCUGGGGGACUGUCCUCGGGCUGCCGGGCUCCCUUGGCCCCCACACACAGCAAGUUAGAAGUGCAUGCUGGUUCGAAUUGAGCCCUUAACCAAUAAUUGGAGCUCCGGACAGGGAGGAAACGUGGUGGCCCUCUUGUCCCAGACGGCGGUCAACUCUGAGACGUGACCUACCUGCCCUGGCUCCCAGAGGUCCCUGCGGGACCGAGCUCAAGUACCCUCCAUGGGACUUUGUGCGGUAACACACCCUGGCGUGGGCCUCUUCCUUCCUCAUCCCAGUUUCCCACGCCCCUACUUGGCUUCCCUGAAAGCGGGUCCUAACAAAUCACUUUCAGCCCGGGGUAACCCUUGUCAGUGAACGACAUGGCUAUCUCUCCCGCUGCCCACGCCACAAACCUUAGAACCCACCUGGACCCGGACCCCAUUCUCUCUCUCACCGCCACAUCCCAUCCUCCGUGUCUCUGGAAUCUUCUCUCUCACACAGGCGCGUCCUGCACGGGCGACUGAAACAGCUCCUACCGAGGAGGGGCUCCCUGCUGCCUCGGGCUGAAACCUAGUCUUCCACGAACUUGCAGGGCCUCUCCUACCCUCCCCCCUCGCACCCUUCCAGAGUCGGACACCUGACCAAGCAGGGCCGGUGAGACCCUCCUCCAGAAUUGUUGGCCCCGGGAUGGAGAAAAGUGACCGCAUCUCUGACUAGGUGGCCACAGCUGUGAGAUAUAACGCCCCAAAGCGCCAGGCAUCAUAUUCUCUGCGGCACGAAGAAACUAGCCUCCCCUGGAACUCGAGGCAACAAUGUGUCUGAACUGAGUUUGGUCCCUUGCAACGGCCGAGGCUUACUUCCUGGACUAUUUGAACUCUUUAUAUAUUGGUGAAAUGAGCCUUUCGCCUGUGAUCACCCUUCCUUGAAAUCGUACACUGCAGAAGACAAGCCUGAUGGCAGGCAAAGGAGGGAAACAGACAACUGAGAUUGAGCAGAAGCUCGAGAAAGUAAGGCUGGACAAUCCAGGGGCUUGGCCAAGUUCAUCCUGACCACGAAGGACGGAGGCCAGCCGUGAGCAGGAGGCAUCUACUGUUAGGCGGACUUCCCCCCCCCCCCGCCCCCCACCUUGCUGCCUCCAGGUUGAAGCGUUAUAUAAACACAUGCUAAACCACGGGGCUAAGGCUCCAAGUGCUGAACAGUGCCCAGGAGAGGGUGAUCCGUGCAGGCUGGCGUAGCCAAGAAUUCUGGCCAGGCCCCAGACAACCUGUUCGGCUCCCUUCCCACUACCCACCCAAGCCCCACCAUUUGGGGGUGCUUCCCCUGGUCACCCGUGCUGAUUUAUGUAUAUGGUGCCCUUCCUGGGAGGAGAGCUGGCUCACUAAUGGAAAAUCAGAGCACUGGUUCCCUAAAGACAUACGCCUGGCCUGCAGGGGCCCCUAUGGAGGACAGGCCACCUCUGCAGGGACGCAUGUGGUCACGCAUUGCACACAAGGAUAGCUCUUCCCACCUACCCAUCGUGCCUGACUAUAUUUCACAUUACAAGUGGGGAAAGUGGGGAAAGACUGGAUGACUCAGUCGGUUGAGCGUCCAGCUUCAGCUCAGGUCGUGAUCUCGUCCG